rnacentral:rRNA from 1 species
AUGUCGACAGUGCUUACUGUGGCGGCUGUUGCGGCGCUAGGGGAGACCGACCAGGUGGUGACCCCGUGGGAGGUGGCCGGCACGGCACAAGGAGGAGUCAACUACGAUAAGUUGGUGGACCAAUUUGGGUGCCAACGCAUCGACGCCGCGCUCGUCGACCGCAUCACGCGCCUUACAUCCAGACCGCCGCAUCGCUUCCUCCGCCGUGGGAUCUUCUUUGCCCAUCGCGAUUUGAACCAGAUAUUGGACCUGUACGAGCAGGGGGGAAAGUUCUACCUCUACACGGGAAGGGGACCCUCCUCGGAGUCACUGCACCUUGGCCACCUUGUCCCCUUCAUGUUCACAAAGUACUUGCAGGAUGCCUUCAAGGUGCCUGUAGUGAUACAGUUAACCGAUGACGAGAAGUUCCUCUGGAAGGACUUGUCUAUUGCGGAAUCUAAACGGCUUGCCCGUGAAAAUGCCAAAGACAUCAUAGCUUGCGGGUUUGACGUUGAAAGAACUUUCAUUUUCUCAGAUUUUCAAUAUGUUGGAGGUCCCUUCUAUGAAAAUAUGAUGCAAGUUGCAAAGCGUGUGACAUUUAAUACUCUUAGAGGCACUUUCGGAUUUACUCCAGAAGAUCACAUAGGAAAGUGUUGCUUUCCUCCUGUGCAAGCUGCUCCAUCAUUUGCUUCGUCAUUUCCCCAUUUCUUUGGGGUUAAUGACCAGCCGCGGUGCCUUAUUCCAUGUGCAAUAGACCAGGAUCCUUAUUUUAGAUUGACUCGUGAUGUUGCUCCUAAAAUGGGUUAUCCGAAACCUUCACUUAUUGAAUCAAAGUUUUUCCCUGCUCUUCAGGGGGAGUGUGGUAAAAUGUCUGCCAGUGACCCGACUAGUGCAGUAUAUCUGACAGAUAAACCUAAAGUAAUUAAAGAAAAGAUUAGGAAAUAUGCUUUCUCUGGUGGCCAGUCCACCACGGAGCUCCAAAGGAAAUAUGGAGCAAACCUCGAUGUUGAUGUCUGUAUCAAAUAUUUAAAUUUCUUCCUUGAAGAUGACGCUGAGUUUGAGCACAUAAAGAAGGAAUACAAAGUUGGGAAUAUGCUAACAGGCGAAUUGAAAGACCGUGUCGUUGGCGUUCUAUCGAAGAUAGCAUUAGCACAUCAGAAUGCUAGAGCUCAAGUGACCGAGGAGAUGGUUGAUGCAUACAUGUCUGCUAGUCCUCGUCCCAAUAUGUUUGGGACCCAUUCUGAUUAUGUGAAAUCGUAA